rnacentral:rRNA from 1 species
AUUGAACGCUGGCGGCAGGCCUAACACAUGCAAGUCGAGCGAGCGGCGGACGGGUUAGUAAUGUAUGGGGAUCGGCCCGAUAGAGGGGGAUAACUACUGGAAACGAUGGCUAAUACCGCACACUAUAGGAUGAGCCCGUAUGGUAUUAGCGAGUUGGUGGGGUAAAGGCUCACCAAGGCCACGAUCUUGAGCUGGUCUGAGAGGAUGAUCAGCCACACUGGGACUGAGACACUGCCCAGACUCUUACGGGAGGCAGCAGUGGGGAAUAUUGCACAAUGGGCGCAAGCCUGAUGCAGCCAUGCCGCGUGUAUGAAGAAGGCCUUAGGGUUGUAAAGUACUUUCAGCGGGGAGGCGUUACCCGCAGAAGAAGCACCGGCUAACUCCGUGCCAGCAGCCGCGGUAAUUC